rnacentral:rRNA from 1 species
CAGCAGCCGCGGGAAUACGUAGGGUGCGAGCGUUAAUCGGAAUUACUGGGCGUAAAGCGUGCGCAGGCGGUUGCGUAAGACAGGUGUGAAAUCCCCGGGCUUAACCUGGGAACUGCGCUUGUGACUGCACAGCUAGAGUAUGGCAGAGGGGGGUGGAAUUCCACGUGUAGCAGUGAAAUGCGUAGAGAUGUGGAGGAACACCGAUGGCGAAGGCGGCCAUCUGGGACAACACUGACGCUGAGGCACGAAAGCGUGGGGAGCAAACAGGAUUAGAUACCCCGCGUAGUCCCUGUCUCUUAUA